CUAUUGAAGAAAAAACCCUACAUUUUGACAAAGAAAAAAUUGUUAAAAAAAAAAAAAAAGGAAAAUGACUUAAAAUGGGGAAUAAAUGACUGUGCCUCACCUAUACAGACUAGUAAAAAUAUUUCAAAGUGAUUCUGAAUAAAUAGGUCUGAUGACUUGGAAGCUAUUGAAGAAAACAUUAUUUAUUAAAGUCAUUUAAAAUAUAUGACUUUAAAUUGUAAUAGAGGCUAUUGUGUCUCAUGUAAAAGCACGAAUUAGCACUGACAGUUGGUUACAAAUCAAGGCAUUUAUUAACAUUUGUUUGACAGGAGUGUUUGGUUUGGUAAUUUGAUAAUAGUGAACCUUCGAGCGCUUUUGCCGGGAGCGGUGGAGAACGGCUGGCCGACAUUAGCGUUCAUAAAUCGGUUCAACCUUGAGCUAAACGCCCCUUACUCCGCGGAGCUCGGGCCGGAAGCGGUGGAGAACCUCUGGUCGAAAUUAGCGUUCAUAAAUCGGAUCAACCUUUAGCUAAACACCCCUUACUCCGCGGAGCGCGAAUAUCCAAUAUCCAACUUGAAAACAACUUCACUGAUAUCGGUAACGCAAAGAAAACACCGGUGUUCUGACUAGUUUGUUUUGGUCUGUGGACACCAAAGAUGGCGCGGAGCGACUUAAACGUCAUACGCUGUGACGUCAGCUCCAAAGCUCUAUAUAAAGGACCCUCCCAUAUUAUCGACAUCAUGAUGUUCUUUUCUUUCCGGUUUAGACCUCCGCGUUUGUUGACGCUCCACGCUACCCACAUGCUCCAAUUGUGCGCUUAACGACGCUGUAAUUGCUAACUGAUCCUCCUCAUGGUAAGAACCUUCCCACUCUCUAUGUUUGCAUAGCUUUAGCUCAGCUUCUGUUGUAUAUUCAGGCUGCUCAUACAAGCUGCCUGAUUUCCCUUCCUUUCAGAGCCACUAAAUAUAGAACUCAGUGGUAAGUGAAAUGCUCAUCUUUUGUAUGCUUCCAGAUUCAAUUUCUGAUAUUUAUUUUUGAUAGACGCUGGCCGGCUGUUUGCCUGUUUGCCUGUUGUCCUGUUUGUCCCUGGCUGGCGGUCUUCCUUGUUGGGUACCAGGACAUCUUCAAGUUUCCUCGGAGACUUCCCGUUUUCAAACCCAGAGGGGAUUCCAUUCACUACGCUGGCAGCUAUACUCACCGGUAACCGGAGUCCGCCCACAUCCCUCUGUUUAAGAGCCCUCAGCGCGUCUCCACCUGGAGCCCGCCCCGAAGCUCUUGGGGUCUCUCUCUCUCUCACGAGUCUGUCCGUCCCUCAUCCCUCUCCGAGUCAGCCUCCGUUCCCAACUGCAACCUGGUACCGAAACCCUUCCCCCACCAGAACUCAUUACAACAAGUAAGCUCCGAACCCAUACUAGUAGCCUGUUUUCCUACGAUCAUUAAACUCACCUCCACUCUCCUUUUGUGUGCAGCCAUGCCAGUCUUCCUGCUGCAGCUUCCCGACUGCGGAUGUUUUGACCUUUUUUGAUCACUGUCAUUAAAACAUCUAUCUGACAUCAAACAGAUAUCUUAAAUAUUUUAUUCUGCCUCUCUGUGAGUUUCUGCAUGUGGGCUCAGAAAUUAAAACCCAGCAUGACAUGCCUAUUGUCUUGGUUACCUGAAGACAAGCAGUUGCCUACCUGUUGUCCUGGUUGCUGGCCUCAUGCCCGCCGUCUUGGUCGGUGUAAUAUGGCAGGCCAUUUUAACAUAAAUUUGGUUUUACCGACCUUACGUUCCAGAUAUCUCAAAUUGUUUUGUGACUAGGCGUUUCAGCGAUUUACGAUAUCUCUAAUUAUAUUUCGACUAGACAAAAUAACUAUUCUCAAAUUACAUUCUGACUAGUCGAAGUGACGUCAGAUUUACCAUUGACUUGUAUGGAGACUUCAAGAUAUCUAAAAUGAAUUACUGACUAUCUGAAAUGCAUAUUUCAGAUAUCUACAAUUAAAUUAUGACUAGUCAUAAAGUAAAUUCAAGAUAUCUCUAAUGACAAGAUAAUUCAAGAUAUCUUAAAUGUAUUUUUAGAUAGAUGUGUAGUUUUGACUAGUGAAAACUAAAUUAUAGAUAUCUUAAAAGCAAAUAAUGACUAGACAAAAUUAAAUUAAAGAUAUCUUGAAUUGUAAUUUUGACUAGUCAAAAUUCCUUUUAAGAUAUCUCUAAAUGAAUUCAAGAUAUCUUGACUUGUACAGUUUAAAUUGACAUUUUGACUAGUCAGAAUGACAUUACUGAUAUCUUGAAUAUGUAUUCUGUCUAGUCAAAACGUCCCUGACUUGCGUAGCAAUUUUAAAGUUUAAUAAAACUUUAAAAUUUUGUUUUUUAAAAAUAGAAAAAACAAAAAAAGAUGUUUGAAAAUGCACCACUUUCAUGUUGAAAAUGGUUUGACAAUAGCAAUUUUAGCUUUUCAAAGCUAUUUUUAAGUGUAUUCGGCUCCUCAACAGCACAAAGACAAAAGAACUCAUAAUAGAUUACAGGAGGAAAAGAACGGACAUCAAACCACUACACAUUGGGGGAAAAUGUGUGGAAAGGGUAGCUGACUUUCGUUUUCUGGGGGU